AACGAACGCUGGCGGCAGGCUUAAUACAUGCAAGUCGAACGGGCGCAGCAAUGCGUCAGUGGCAGACGGGUGAGUAACACGUGGGAACCUUCCUCGUUGUACGGAACAACUCAGGGAAACUUGAGCUAAUACCGUAUAAGUCCGAGAGGAGAAAGAUUUAUCGCAAUGAGACGGGCCCGCGUCGGAUUAGGUAGUUGGUGAGGUAACGGCUCACCAAGCCGACGAUCCGUAGCUGAUCUGAGAGGAUGAUCAGCCACACUGGGACUGAGACACGGCCCAGACUCCUACGGGAGGCAGCAGUAGGGAAUCUUGGACAAUGGGCGCAAGCCUGAUCCAGCCAUGCCGCGUGAGUGAAGAAGGCC
rnacentral:rRNA from 1 species